UGAAGUUUUUGUAUUUUAGGGGUUUUAGUGUUAGGUAGAAAAAGUAAUUUUUUAGAUUUUUUUUGUAUUAUAGAUUUUUGAAGUAGUUAUUAUUGAAGAGCAGUUUUGGAGGUAAAAAAUUUUUUAAAUAGUAAUAUGUGGGUAUGUACCUUUGGUAUCAGGGUGUGUUAAAAUUUUUAAUGUAUUUUUUUAUCCCGAAAGAGAAUGAGUUACAUAGCUAGUUUUUUAUUGUGGUAGAAAUAAGAGUAAUAGUUAUAGUAGUAGUGAGAUGCUAUUCGUAUUUUUAGAUAUCUGGUUCUUAUAGAAAUCAUGGAGAUGUCCAUCAGCCUAUUUUUCAAGCUGGUAGAAAGGUUGUUAGGGCUAAGCUUAACAUUCUAUUUCUAUAUUAAUAAUUAGAUAGAGUUAAACUAGGCUUAAGAGUAGCUUUGUGUUUUAUAACAUAUUUUUGUUUUGUUGUAUUAGUAAGGUAUGUAGGGGUUUUUAUAAUUUAUUAUAGAAAGUAACAAUGAUAUAAUUAGUAGAGUUAGUUUUAGGUUUUUAGUUUAGGUGUGUAUAUUGAUGUAUGAAUUUUUAGGGUAUUUAAAAGGAACUCGGCAAAAUGAUUUUUUAACUGUUUAUCAAAAACAUUUCCUUAAGGGUGUAUUUAAGGUAAGUUCUGCCCCCUGAUUUUAUUUAAAGGGCCGCAGUAGCCUGACUGUGCUAAGGUAGCAUAAUCAUUAGGUUUUUAAUUGGGAUCUGGUAUGAAUGAAUAAAUAGUGAAUAGCUGUCUUUUUAGUAUGUUUUGAAGUUAAGUUUUUAGUAAUAACGCUGGAAUGAUUUUGUGGGACGAUAAGACCCUAUAAAGCUUUACUAUUUUUUGGUUAAGAAUUUUUACUAAUUUUAUUUUGAGGAUAGUUUGACUGGGGCGGUAGCUAUUUAUCUUAGUUUAUCUAUUUAAGUUUUUGAUCCGUUAUUAACGAAUUAAGAUUAAGUUACUUUAGGGAUAACAGCAUAAUAUACUUAUGGAGUUCUAAUCGAAGAGUAUGUUUGUGACCUCGAUGUUGAAUUAAUUUAAUUUUAGGGUGAAGAAGCUCUAAGAGUUAGUCUGUUCGACUAUUGAAGAAUUACAUGAUUUGAGUUCAAACCGGUUUAAGCCAGGUU
rnacentral:rRNA from 1 species